rnacentral:tRNA from 1 species
GGGCAAUUAGCUCAGUUGGUUAGAGCAUCUCCUUUACACGGAGAGGGUCAGAGGUUCGAAUCCUCUAUUGCCCA